rnacentral:rRNA from 1 species
AUCCGGUUGAUCCUGCCGGACCUGACUGCUAUCGGAUUGAUACUAAGCCAUGCGAGUCUUUGUAGUAAUACAAGGCAGACGGCUCAGUAACGCGUAGUCAACCUACCCUAUGGACGGGAAUAAUCUCGGGAAACUGAGCAUAAUACCCGGCGUACCACCAUUCCUGGAAUGGUUGGUGGUUAAAAUGAUUCGUCGCCGUAGGAUGGGACUGCGACCUAUCAGCUUGUUGGUGAGGUAAAGGCCCACCAAGGCGAUUACAGGUACGGGCUCUGAGAGGAGAAGCCCGGAGAUGGGUACUGAGACACGGACCCAGGCCCUAUGGGGCGCAGCAGGCGAGAAAACUUUGCAAUGUGCGAAAGCACGACAAGGUUAAUCCGAGUGAUUUCUGCUAAAGGAAUCUUUUGCCAGUUCUAAAAAUACUAGUGAAUAAGGGGUGGGCAAGUUCUGGUGUCAGCCGCCGCGGUAAAACCAGCACCUCAAGUGGUCAGGAGGAUUAUUGGGCCUAAAGCAUCCGUAGCCUGCUCUGUAAGUUUUCGGUUAAAUCUAUAUGCUCAACGUAUAGGCUGCCGAAAAUACUGCAGUGCUAGGAAGUGGGAGAGGUAGACGGUACUUGAUAGGAAGGGGUAAAAUCCUUUGAUCUAUCGAUGACCACCUGUGGCGAAGGCGGUCUACCAGAACACGUUCGACGGUGAGGGAUGAAAGCUGGGGGAGCAAACCGGAUUAGAUACCCGGGUAGUCCCAGCUGUAAACGAUGCAGACUCGAUGA